UGCUUGUUCUGGGGGCUGGAUUCUAGUCCUGCUGUGGGAGGUCAGGGCAGGGGAGACCAUCACGAAAAUCAGUUAAAAAUAUGUUCAGCGUAUGAAUCUGUGCCAUAAGUAUUCAUAAACGAACAGCCCUGGCUGUACCGUGAAGGAGCCCUGCAUGAAAUGGCCAUGAGCAGUCGUAUGCACGUGUAGAUUGAGAGUUUGCAUACACAGUCUGUAACUGUUAGCAAACGGGGUUUGCAGUUGCACAUACGUUUUGUCUGCCUAACCUUAGUUUCUGAAAAUCCGGCCCUAAAUGUUCUUCAACCAAUAUGUAAAUGAAGUGACCAUUAAGGAACGGGUUUUCAUGGGGUUCGGAUACGCACACGGCUCUCCCGCCCUUGUGACCAAGUCCUCGCCAUCCCCCAGAGCAUUAAUGCUUGUGCCUAGAAACCUGCCCACCCCAGAGUCCAAGCAGCCUAGUGAGCAUCAGUUCCUUCUGUUUGGGGGCUUUAUCCCCAUCCGUCCUUGUGAUCUCAGUGGCAAACUCAGUGAUGGGAGGAAUCCACUAGCACGACUCAUCCUCACGGGGGCAGGGAGGGCAAAACAACAAACAUCAUUUGUCCUCUUUAAUGCCCCACAAUAGUCCGUCUGGUGUCAAUGGUCCGUUCCUGCUGGCAGGACAUAACAUCAGCCAUUCACACUAAUUCACGGCUUUCUCCCCUCUGGCGAGUUACACAGUCACAGGGACUCACCAUAUGACUGCUCAAAUAUUACCGUACACUAUGGGAUACGGAUGCUGUAAGCGAGAUGAAUGCAGGCGGCAACACACCAGCAUUCAAUAAACACUAAACAGAUUCCUGUCAUCCCACCCCCUGUGUUAACACCACUAACGCACAGGUGAGCCAGACUGAUUCCAGUGCUGUACCGGAUUUACCAUGGCGCCAGUGGCACCAUAGGGCCGGGCCCAAGCUCAGAAGGGGCCCGUAACACUCGCUUCCCCCCCUCUGCAGAAACAGAGCCUCAGAGCAUCCUGGAUCCAGCAUGGGAGCUGAGACCCCACGGGGCCCUGGGAGCUGUAGUUCCCUGGCCAGCUCCCUGCCUAGAGGGCCUGCCCUGGAGUAGGGAAGGAACUACAUUUCCCAGCAUUCCCUUGGCUGCUAUCAACAGGAAAGGGCGGGGGAAGCUGCGAGACUCCAUGUGCUGCAGCUUGCUGUGGCUGGGGAGCUGGCUGCUAGAGCAGGGUGGCCGUGUGAAUGGGGAACAAGUGUGCCCAAGGAGUCGAAGGCUUUGGCCCCGAUAUCACCCUCGGAAGACUUCCCCAGCCUGGCUUAGGGAUGCUGGUGUCACCUCGCCUGGCAGCCCCCAAAGAAGGAACCAGGUGGACUAAAUGGACAGUGCCCCCCUCUAUCUGAAGCCUGGCAAGGGAGGUACGUGGGUCCCACCAGAAGUUAUAAUGGGCCGACCAGAGAGAGAGACCGGGACGAGCCGAGAGCGUGACAGCAGGGCCUGUGGGGGGAUGGGACAGGAUCCUCCAAUCCGCUCCCCACCUGACACCCACGCCCAGUCGCCCCUGGGCCUGAUCUCGCCCCGCACGUGGCUUGUGUCAUAAAGAGCUCAGCUCAGCUGGCCUCCCUGUGAUUUCCUGGCUUGGGCCUCACUGUCCCUGCAUGUCCGCCGGGACAACCCCCCUGCAGCUGCCAUCUCUCCCAUCGCUCUGGGCACUGACGUGCAGGGUCCUGGCUCGCCCCCACUCCCGUUUCUCAGCCAGUGACCCAGACCCUGCUCCCAGCACUCGAGCUGCUGGCGAUGGUGACGUAGCCUGACUCACCAGCGCGGCCAUUGCCUGGGCAUAGCCCUAGCGAACGGGCUGCAUGUUGGCAGGGCCAGGCAGCGGGCGGGGUCAUGGGCCUGCCUCUGAUCUCAGGUGCUCCUCCCUUUUGCAGUGGUUUGCAGCGCUGACUGGAGCCCGGGACAGACACUCUGGUGAGAGGCCCUGUGGCCUCCUAGUUCCUAGGUUAUUUCCUUCCUGACACAGGGAAGCUGCAGGGAGACAGGCUCGUUCUUCGUGGCCUGCUCACUGCUCCUGCUGCCCAGCCUUUGUCACUUCACAGCCCCUGGUCUGCCCUGGCUCAGCGGCCAGCUGGGCUGUUAGCUGGACCCAGCAACAGCCUCAGUCGGGGAGCGAGGGGACGGGGGCUGGGGAGCAGAACUAUUUCAGAAUCAGAUGGUUGUGAAGUUCCUCCUUAGGCCCCAGCAGGAAUUUCAAUGCCUUGUGCCCGGCCCCACCCAGUGCCCUCAUUCCGGCUCCCCAAGCGUAUCCUCGGGAGGCGGGGCCCUACCCUACCCCUCAGGGCCUGGCAGCAGUGCAGCGUCACCAGCCUCGAUUCCCCGCGCAGCCCAAUGGGAUGCCGUGUCUGUCCUAGUGGUGGCUGUGCCAGCCUGCGGGCACCACUGAGAUGUGAACGGAAGGUUCCCCUAUGCAGGGUGAAAUUCCCCCUGCACGGAGGGACCCCAAAGGACAGGCAUCUCUUCAGCAGCAUUGCUAACC